GCUUUCGUGGUGUAGUGGUCAGCACACUCGACGCGUAUUCGAGAGGUCCGUGGUUCGAGUCCCGGCCAGGGCA
rnacentral:tRNA from 1 species